AGAGAGAGACAUGCGCGCAUAUCAAUAAGCGGAGGAAAAGAAACUAACAAGGAUUCCCCUAGUAACGGCGAGUGAAGCGGGAAGAGCUCAAAUUUGAAAUCUUAAAGGGUUUCCCUUUACGAAUUGUAGUUUAAAGAAGUGUUUUCUGUUGAGGUUUUGGUAAAAGUUCUUUGGAAUAGGACAUCAUAGAGGGUGAGAAUCCCGUAUUUGACCUUUACUUUCAACUUUGUGAUACACUUUCAAAGAGUCGGAUUGUUUGGGAAUGCAGUCCAAAAUGGGUGGUAAAUUUCAUCUAAAGCUAAAUGUUGGCGAGAGACCGAUAGCGAACAAGUACCGUGAGGGAAAGAUGAAAAGAACUUUGAAAAGAGAGUUAAACAGUACGUGAAAUUGUCAAAAGGGAAGCGUUUGACACCAGUGUUGUUUUUCUGAAAAUCAAUUAAAGAACUGUUUAUGCUAAGUUGUUUAGACUUUAUCAGCUAACUGUUUAGUUUUGAGCUUUUCUUUAAUGCACUUUUCAGUUAACAAGUCAACAUCAAUUUCUUUUGCUGUAAAAAAGCUUGAGGAAGGUGGCUUGAGAUUCGUCUUAAGUGUUUAUAGCCUCUUGCCUAUGCAGUCGGAGAGAUUGAGGUCUGCAGCGUAGAUCCUUCGGGGCUAAAUGUAUUUGUGCUAAGUUAUAGCAUUUUAUAGACAACUUGUUGACUAUGAUUUGUCUUGUAGCUUACUCGCUUAUGUUAUUUUACCUACGCUUAGGAUGUUGACGCAUGAGAUAUACGC
rnacentral:rRNA from 1 species